CGGAGGGUGCAAGCGUUGUCCGGAUUUAUUGGGUUUAAAGGGUGCGUAGGCGGCCUAAUAAGUCAGUGGUGAAAGCCUCCAGCUUAACUGGAGAACUGCCAUUGAUACUGUUAGGCUUGAGUAUACUUGAGGUAGGCGGAAUUGACAGUGUAGCGGUGAAAUGCAUAGAUAUUGUCAAGAACACCAAUUGCGAAGGCAGCUUACUAAAUUAUAACUGACGCUGAGGCACGAAAGUGUGGGUAUCAAACAGGAUU
rnacentral:rRNA from 1 species